UUCCGGUUGAUCCCGCCGGAGGCUACUGCUAUUGGAAUUCGACUAAGCCAUGCGAGUCAAGGUGUCUUCGGACGCCGGCAUACGGCUCAGUAACACGUAGGUAACCUACCCUCAGGACUGAGAUAACCCCGGGAAACUGGGGCUAAUAUUAGAUAGAUAAAAGAUACUGGAAUGUUCUUUUAUCCAAAGCUUUUGCGCCUGAGGAUGGGCCUGCGCCCGAUUAGGUUGUUGGUGGGGUAAUGGCCCACCAAGCCUACGAUCGGUACGGGCAGUGGGAGCUGAAGCCCGGAGUUGGGGACUGAGACAAGGCCCCAGGCCCUACGGGGCGCAGCAGGCGCGAAACCUCUGCAAUGCGGGAAACCGUGACAGGGGGAUUCCAAGUGCUCAUGCAUUGCAUGGGCUGUUCUUUGGUCUAAGUAACCAGAGGAGUAAGGGCUGGGCAAGACCGGUGCCAGCCGCCGCGGUAAUACCGGCAGCUCAAGUGGUAGCCGCGAUUAUUGGGCCUAAAACGUUCGUAGCCGGAUAAGUAAGUCUUUGGUUAAAUCCUGCGACUUAACCGUGGGAAAUCUAGAGAUACUGCUUGUCUUGAGACCGGGAGAGGUUGGAGGUACUCCCAGGGUAGGGGUGAAAUCCUGUAAUCCUGGGGGGGACCACCUGUGGCGAAGGCGUC
rnacentral:rRNA from 1 species